rnacentral:rRNA from 1 species
GCGAUACAGGGUGACAGCCCCGUACACAAAAAUGCACAUGCUGUGAGCUCGAUGAGUAGGGCGGGACACGUGGUAUCCUGUCUGAAUAUGGGGGGACCAUCCUCCAAGGCUAAAUACUCCUGACUGACCGAUAGUGAACCAGUACCGUGAGGGAAAGGCGAAAAGAACCCCGGCGAGGGGAGUGAAAAAGAACCUGAAACCGUGUACGUACAAGCAGUGGGAGCACGCUUAGGCGUGUGACUGCGUACCUUUUGUAUAAUGGGUCAGCGACUUAUAUUCUGUAGCAAGGUUAACCGAAUAGGGGAGCCGAAGGGAAACCGAGUCUUAACUGGGCGUUAAGUUGCAGGGUAUAGACCCGAAACCCGGUGAUCUAGCCAUGGGCAGGUUGAAGGUUGGGUAACACUAACUGGAGGACCGAACCGACUAAUGUUGAAAAAUUAGCGGAUGACUUGUGGCUGGGGGUGAAAGGCCAAUCAAACCGGGAGAUAGCUGGUUCUCCCCGAAAGCUAUUUAGGUAGCGCCUCGUGAAUUCAUCUCCGGGGGUAGAGCACUGUUUCGGCAAGGGGGUCAUCCCGACUUACCAACCCGAUGCAAACUGCGAAUACCGGAGAAUGUUAUCACGGGAGACACACGGCGGGUGCUAACGUCCGUCGUGAAGAGGGAAACAACCCAGACCGCCAGCUAAGGUCCCAAAGUCAUGGUUAAGUGGGAAACGAUGUGGGAAGGCCCAGACAGCCAGGAUGUUGGCUUAGAAGCAGCCAUCAUUUAAAGAAAGCGUAAUAGCUCACUGGUCGAGUCGGCCUGCGCGGAAGAUGUAACGGGGCUAAACCAUGCACCGAAGCUGCGGCAGCGACGCUUAUGCGUUGUUGGGUAGGGGAGCGUUCUGUAAGCCUGCGAAGGUGUGCUGUGAGGCAUGCUGGAGGUAUCAGAAGUGCGAAUGCUGACAUAAGUAACGAUAAAGCGGGUGAAAAGCCCGCUCGCCGGAAGACCAAGGGUUCCUGUCCAACGUUAAUCGGGGCAGGGUGAGUCGACCCCUAAGGCGAGGCCGAAAGGCGUAGUCGAUGGGAAACAGGUUAAUAUUCCUGUACUUGGUGUUACUGCGAAGGGGGGACGGAGAAGGCUAUGUUGGCCGGGCGACGGUUGUCCCGGUUUAAGCGUGUAGGCUGGUUUUCCAGGCAAAUCCGGAAAAUCAAGGCUGAGGUGUGAUGACGAGGCACUACGGUGCUGAAGCAACAAAUGCCCUGCUUCCAGGAAAAGCCUCUAAGCAUCAGGUAACAUCAAAUCGUACCCCAAACCGACACAGGUGGUCAGGUAGAGAAUACCAAGGCGCUUGAGAGAACUCGGGUGAAGGAACUAGGCAAAAUGGUGCCGUAACUUCGGGAGAAGGCACGCUGAUAUGUAGGUGAAGUCCCUCGCGGAUGGAGCUGAAAUCAGUCGAAGAUACCAGCUGGCUGCAACUGUUUAUUAAAAACACAGCACUGUGCAAACACGAAAGUGGACGUAUACGGUGUGACGCCUGCCCGGUGCCGGAAGGUUAAUUGAUGGGGUUAGCCGCAAGGCGAAGCUCUUGAUCGAAGCCCCGGUAAACGGCGGCCGUAACUAUAACGGUCCUAAGGUAGCGAAAUUCCUUGUCGGGUAAGUUCCGACCUGCACGAAUGGCGUAAUGAUGGCCAGGCUGUCUCCACCCGAGACUCAGUGAAAUUGAACUCGCUGUGAAGAUGCAGUGUACCCGCGGCAAGACGGAAAGACCCCGUGAACCUUUACUAUAGCUUGACACUGAACAUUGAGCCUUGAUGUGUAGGAUAGGUGGGAGGCUUUGAAGUGUGGACGCCAGUCUGCAUGGAGCCGACCUUGAAAUACCACCCUUUAAUGUUUGAUGUUCUAACGUUGACCCGUAAUCCGGGUUGCGGACAGUGUCUGGUGGGUAGUUUGACUGGGGCGGUCUCCUCCUAAAGAGUAACGGAGGAGCACGAAGGUUGGCUAAUCCUGGUCGGACAUCAGGAGGUUAGUGCAAUGGCAUAAGCCAGCUUGACUGCGAGCGUGACGGCGCGAGCAGGUGCGAAAGCAGGUCAUAGUGAUCCGGUGGUUCUGAAUGGAAGGGCCAUCGCUCAACGGAUAAAAGGUACUCCGGGGAUAACAGGCUGAUACCGCCCAAGAGUUCAUAUCGACGGCGGUGUUUGGCACCUCGAUGUCGGCUCAUCACAUCCUGGGGCUGAAGUAGGUCCCAAGGGUAUGGCUGUUCGCCAUUUAAAGUGGUACGCGAGCUGGGUUUAGAACGUCGUGAGACAGUUCGGUCCCUAUCUGCCGUGGGCGCUGGAGAACUGAGGGGGGCUGCUCCUAGUACGAGAGGACCGGAGUGGACGCAUCACUGGUGUUCGGGUUGUCAUGCCAAUGGCACUGCCCGGUAGCUAAAUGCGGAAGAGAUAAGUGCUGAAAGCAUCUAAGCACGAAACUUGCCCCGAGAUGAGUUCUCCCUGACNGUCCUGAAGGAACGUUGAAGACGACGACGUUGAUAGGCCGGGUGUGUAAGCGCAGCGAUGCGUUGAGCUAACCGGUACUAAUGAACCGUGAGGCUUAACCUU